rnacentral:lncRNA from 1 species
AGUUUGUUAUUUUUGUAGAUUUGAGAGCAGUAAGCUUCUUUUUUGUCUCAGCUUUUUUCAUUGAAAUACCAUUAUAUCAUUAAAUAUGUUUUAUAAUAGGCAAAUAUACAUUUUUUCAUUUAGGUAUUGUUUUAGCAACUUUUACUAAUGGUGAUGUCUUUUAUUCUAUUAAACGAGAAGAGAGAUUGAUUUGAAUAUUUAUUGUUUACUUGAACAUUACUUAUUAUUUAUUGUUUAUUUGAACAUUACCAAAAUAGCUUUUUUUAUUUAAUUUUUUUUUAUUUAGUUAUUUCUUCUGUAGCAUAAACCUCCCCAGUUGUGUCAUCUGCAGCAUCGACCGUCCCAAUUGUUUAAACUGCUUCAUCCGCCACUUCUGGUAACUUGAUACAUUUUUUUUUGAUUUGUUACUUAAAAAACAUUUUAUUUCGAUUUGGUACUUAAAAAAAGACAAGUAAUAAAUAUUGUUUAUUUGAACAUUAUAAUCAGAAUGAAAUUGCCUUUUUUUAUUAUGUUUUUUAUUUAGCUGUUUCAUCUGCAUCAUUAGUCUCUUCAGGCAACUAUUUUUUUUUUUUGCUUGGGUCAAACAUUUUUAAAUCUUUAUAUUAGCAUGUCAAUAUUUUUAGAUAUCAAUGAAGUAUUAAGUAAGUUAUAUUAGUAUUCAGAUUUCACUUUUUACUUUUAUUAAAUAACUAAUUAAAUAAAAAGUUUUUUUUAUAUAUUUCAGUUCUAAGGCAACAGAUUGGUAAGCAAAAAUAUAUCAUAUGUUUUUAUCUCCCCAAAGCUUGGUAGACUGUUACAGUUAAGGAUGCUACUUUAAUUGUGGUUGCAACCCUUUCUCAACUUAAAAUUAAAAUUUUGAAACACAAACAUUGUAAAACAAGGCUGCUGUGCUAAGAAACUAGUUAAGUGCGGUACUACCAGGUACAUUUGACCUUAUAACUGCUCUACCAAUAUGCACAAUAACCAUGUAAAUUAAUUAUAUUUAGCAAUAAACAAAAUAAUGUACUUACCAAUAUAUAAAAUUAUAUAUUUACCAAUGUAUAUCUUAUGAUGAAUAUUCUAAAAUAUAUCAUUCAAGAUACAUUUAAGAAAUUAUAUUAAAUUUUCAAGUUUUUAUUUUUUAUGUUCUUCUGCGAAAGCGAGAUGGUAAGUUGUACAUACUGUUUCCAUAGUUUUAAAGAAUAAUAUUUUUUCAUUUUACUUAACAAUAUUUUUAACACUUAUAUAUAUAGCUUUGUUACAUAUGUUGGGAAAAAAAAUUCAAAUGUUCGUUUAAUAGUUUUUUUAUCUAGAUGAAUUGUUAACAAACAAAUCUUCCAAUGGUGAAAUUUAUUAUGUCUUUUCUAAAUACUUUUAUUUAUCUUUUAGCAAGGAAGACGAAUCUGUAGAUAUAUAUUUAUUAUGUUUAGGUAUACAAGCUAAAGCCCUAAACGGUAAUUCUAAAUUCAUACUUACAAUAAUAUUAUCUGCUUUAAUGAAGUAAAGACUUGACUAUAAAUAAAAGAAUUAGGAAAAAAUGAUGGAGAACAUUUUCUUUAUUCGAAUUUCGCUCCUUCAGUUAAAUUUAUUAAAGUAUAAAUUAAUUUUUAUUUAAUUUUCAAGCCAGGUCUUUUGAACCAAAAAUCGUUUCGAAGAUGGGUGCAGUAUGGAGGGUCAGACCACCCAUCAUUUAGAUGGGGUGGUCAAUACAGGAGUCGAAGGACCGGGAAAUAAUAAAAAACUUUCAUGUCUACAAUUGAAAUAUUAGUAGACAUAAAAGUUUUUAUAA